rnacentral:rRNA from 1 species
UACGUAGGGUGCGAGCGUUGUCCGGAAUUAUUGGGCGUAAAGGGCUCGUAGGCGGUCUGUCGCGUCGGGAGUGAAAACUCAGGGCUUAACCCUGAGCCUGCUUCCGAUACGGGCAGACUAGAGGUAUGCAGGGGAGAACGGAAUUCCUGGUGUAGCGGUGAAAUGCGUAGAUAUCAGGAGGAACACCGGUGGCGAAGGCGGCUUACUGGACUGUAAAUGACGCUGAAUAGCGAAAGCCAGGGGAGCAAACGGG